rnacentral:rRNA from 1 species
GGGAUUUUCUCAGUAAUUGCGAAUGAAGAGGGAGUAGUUCAGUUUGGAAAUUGGGGCCCCUUGGCCUUGAAUUGUAGUUUGGAGAUGCGCCGCCAAUGGAGGCGUAGAUGUAUACCUCUUGGAAGAGAGCAUCAGUGAGGGUGAGAGUCCCGUUUGCCAUCUGCAGCCCGCUGUGCACGGGGCGGUUCCAAAGAGUCACGUUCCUCGGAACUGGAGCGCAAAGUGGGUGGUAACUUUCAUCUCAAGCUGAAUACGGUUUCGAGACCGAUAGUGAACAAGUACCAUGAGGGAAAGGUGAAAAGGACUUUGAGAAGAGAGUUACAAGUGCCUGAAAUCGCUGGAAGCAAAGCGAAGGGAACUAUGGCUGCUUGGUAAAAUCUUCUGCGCGCUCACAGGAUGGCUUGCUGUUUCAACGCAAGUGCGGCAGCUAGUCCCCAUCGAAGCGUGCGCUGUGUUUUUUGCCGCGCAUGUCAACGCCAACUUGCAAAUGAGGAAUGCUUCAGGGACACGACAACCUGCCUCCGGGCAGAUGAACGUGCCUGGCAGGAUUCGUUUGCCCAUUGAUUUGAGGCUGUCUGGUUGUAGUGACCCCGCAAAGGAGGUUGCGCCCCGGACGCAAAUGAAGAAGACAGAGUGGUUCCAUUCUACCCGUCUUGAAACACGGACCAAGGAGUCUAACACAUCUGCAAGCUCACGGGCGGGUAAACCUGCUUGCGAAAUCAAAGUGAUUGCUGGGACUUCUGCACCAGCGCCCGACCAAUCAAGUGAGAGAGGUUUGAGUGUGAGCACAUCUGUUAGGACCCGAAAGAUGGUGAACUAUGCCUGGGCAGGGCAAACUCAGGGGAAACUCUGAUGGAGGCUCGCAGCGAUACUGACGUGCAAAUCGUUCGUCAUACUCGGGUAUAGGG